UACAUGGGGUGCAAACGUUGCUCGGAAUUAUUGGGCGUGAAGCGCACGUAGGCGGUUCGUUAAGUCGGAUGUGAAAGCCCUCGGCUCAACUGAGGAAGUGCACCCGAAACUGGCGAGCUUGAGUACGAAAGAGGAUCGCGGAAUUCCCGGUGUAGAGGUGAAAUUCGUAGAUAUCGGGAGGAACACCGGUGGCGAAGGCGGCGAUCUGGGUCGAUACUGACGCUGAGACGCGAAAGCGUGGGGAGCGAACAGG
rnacentral:rRNA from 1 species